GUGGGGAAUAUUGCACAAUGGGGGGAACCCUGAUGCAGCAAUGCCGCGUGGGUGAAGAAGCACUCCGGUGCGUAAAGCCCUGUCAGCAGGGAAGAAAAUGACAGUACCUGACUAAGAAGCCCCGGCUAACUACGUGCCAGCAGCCGCGGUAAUACGUAGGGGGCAAGCGUUAUCCGGAUUUACUGGGUGUAAAGGGAGCGCAGGCGGUAUGGCAAGUCAGAUGUGAAAACCCAGGGCCCAACCCUGGGACUGCAUUUGAAACUGCCAUACUGGAGUGCCGGAGAGGUAAGCGGAAUUCCUAGUGUAGCGGUGAAAUGCGUAGAUAUUAGGAAGAACACCAGUGGCGGAGGCGGCUUACUGGACGGUAACUGACGCUGAGGCUCGAAAGCGUGGGGAGCAAACAGGA
rnacentral:rRNA from 1 species